CAAUAGCGUAUAUUAAAGUUGUUGCGGUUAAAAAGCUCGUAGUUGGAUUUCUGCUGAGAACGACCGGUCCGCCCUUUGGGUGUGUAUCUGGCUCUUUCUUGGCAUCUUCUUGGUGAACGUUGCUGCACUUGGCUGUGUGGAGCGCUACCCAGGACUUUUACUUUGAGGAAAUUAGAGUGUUUCAAGCAGGCAUACGCCUUGAAUACAUUAGCAUGGAAUAAUAAGAUAGGACCUCGGUUCUAUUUUGUUGGUUUCUAGAGCUGAGGUAAUGAUUAAUAGGGAUAGUUGGGGGCAUUCGUAUUUAACUGUCAGAGGUGAAAUUCUUGGAUUUGUUAAAGACGGACUACUGCGAAANCANNNGCCAAGGAUGUUUUCAUNGA
rnacentral:rRNA from 1 species